AGCUCCAAUAGCGUAUAUUAAAGUUGUUGCAGUUAAAAAGCUCGUAGUUGGAUUUCUGACAGGAGCGACCGGUCUCGAGCCCUUUGUGGUUCUUGUACUUUUUAGGUCCGUCUCUAGUCAUCCUUACGGAGAGCGUGUGUGACAUUAAGUUGUCGUGCACGGGACCCGUAUCGUUUACUGUGAAAAAAUUAGAGUGUUUAAAGCAGGCAAUCGCUGUGAAUACAUUAGCAUGGAAUAAUAAGAUAGGACUUUGGUACUAUUUUGUUGGUUUGCAUACCAAGGUAAUGAUUAAGAGGGACAGUUGGGGGUAUUCGUAUUUAAUUGUCAGAGGUGAAAUUCUUGGAUUUAUGAAAGACGAACUACUGCGAAAGCAUUUACCAAGGAUGUUUUCAUUAAUCAA
rnacentral:rRNA from 1 species